UGUUAUGAAUUAUAAUGUAAAUGUGUGUUU
rnacentral:piRNA from 1 species